rnacentral:rRNA from 1 species
AGCGAACGCUGGCGGCAGGCUUAACACAUGCAAGUCGAACGCCCCGCAAGGGGAGUGGCAGACGGGUGAGUAACACGUGGGAACGUACCCUUUGGUUCGGAAUAACUUGGGGAAACUCAAGCUAAUACCGGAUAAGCCCUUAUGGGGAAAGGUUUACUGCCGAAGGAUCGGCCCGCGUCUGAUUAGCUAGUUGGUGAGGUAAUGGCUCACCAAGGCGACGAUCAGUAGCUGGUCUGAGUGGAGGAUCAGCCACACUGGGACUGAGACACGGCCCAGACUCCUACGGGAGGCAGCAGUGGGGAAUAUUGGACAAUGGGGGCAACCCUGAUCCAGCCAUGCCGCAUGAGUGAUGAAGGCCUUAGGGUUGUAAAGCUCUUUUACCCGGGACGAUAAUGACUGUACCGGGAGAAUAAGCCCCGGCUAACUUCGUGCCAGCCGCCGCGGUAA